GUGCACGCUUCAUUGUCUUUUUUCUUUAUGUCAAGAAAGAAGAUAUUCCUGAUGUGCUAAACUAGCCUUUGGAGGUAAAUUAGCAGCAUGAUUUACUAGCCAUUGCUGUCAGUCAUCUUCAGACUGAC